GGUCUCAUCUGCAAAGGGAGCACUAUGUCUGCUGAAAUCACUGAGGCGACCUCCGCAAAGGAGCAGAAGGAAAUGGAAGAUAAAGUAACUAGUCCAGAGAUAGUUGAAGAAGCAAAAUUAAAAGUGAGGUAUCCUCAUCUGGGACAAAAGCCUGGAGGUUCAGAUUUCUUAAGGAAACGAUUGCAGAAAGGGCAAAAAUAUUUUGAUUCUGGAGAUUACAACGUAGCCAAAGCAAAAAUGAAGAACAAGCAACUUCCUACUGCAGCCCCAGAUAAGAUGGAGGUCACUGGUGACCACAUUCCCAUUCCACAGGACCUUCCUCAACAGAAACCAUCCCUUGUUGCUAGCAAGCUGGCUGGCUGAUUAAAAGAGCUGAACGGCAUGAAUCUUCUAAUUCCCAUUAUUUCUUCUUCAUAUGUUAUUUCUCAGCUUUUUAUUUCCUUUCUGUUCACCAAGUCAUUUGAGACUGACGACAGCUGUUUGUGUGUGUGUGUAUGCUGCUAUUGUAAGGGAGUAUGUAGAAUUUUUGAUUAAUUUAACAGUGCACUGAUGAAAAGGACAUGUUAGAGCAACAUAAAGUAAUCUACUUGAAAAUAAUUGUAUAUAUUAUCUUACUCCUAGUGUAGGACUGGCUCUAACAACUAACAAGCAAAUUUUACAGUUUUAAUGUUUUGUCUUUUAUUAUUUCAUCUUCAUUAUAGCUUUGUAUGUUACUCUUAUUUAAUAUAACCUCUAUUGAUUUCUUCCAUAUUUUCCUUUUGGAUUUUGUAAAACAGAAGUUUAAGACCACAAGUUGGGAGAAACGUCAUAGAUUUCAAACACAAACAAAUAGAUGGGGCUUUGAAAGAUUUGUAUCUCUGUGCUUGAACUUGAAUGGCCUUAAACCUGUUUCAGCUUUAACAAUAAAAAUUUACUUGGGCAAUAUUUGCCCAUUCUGGUGUAACUUACGUGACUAGUGCUUAAUAGCUGCUCUUGAAGCUAGUAUUCUUAUUCAGUUCUAUAGUGUUAGAAUAUCUUUUCCUGUUGAUGAUGUGAAAGAAGUGUGCAUGUGCAUUGACUGUUGAAUUCACUUUUGUGCCAUUUUUGUAAAUACAGUAGUUUUGCACAA